rnacentral:pre_miRNA from 1 species
UACGCAGGAGAGAUGAUGCUGGACGAUAGAGAUAGGAAUAAUGGGCUUACUUUAUUGGCCAGCAUCAUACUCCUGCAUAUU